rnacentral:rRNA from 1 species
GGGUCAGUAGGUUGGUCGUGCCACCGGUACGUACUGGUCUCACUGAUUCCUCCUUCCUGAAGAACCGUAAUGCGAUUAAUUAGGGGUUGCGGGGAAACAGGACUGUUACUUUGAAAAAAUUAGAGUGUUUAAAGCAAGCUAACGCUUGAAUACAUUAGCAUGGAAUAAUGAAAUAGGACGAUCGAUCCUAUUUUGUUGGUUUCUAGGAUUGACGUA